rnacentral:rRNA from 1 species
AUGAUUUUUAACGUCGCCGGCCGGAGUGGAACCCACGCCUCGCAUCACGCCAGCGUCAGGUUCUGCAGCGUCCGCGGCAUCGGCGGCAUGUCGACGUGCACGACGCCCUCCAGCGCCUGCACGGCCUGCGCCAUGGUCGGCCGGUGCGCCUCCUGGUCCUGGAUGCACCAGCACGCCACCCUGCACGCCCGCUCCAGCUCCUCCGCCCUCACGUCGCCGCGCAGCCGCGGGUCCGCCACGGCGCCCCUGUCGGUGUUGCGUCGGCCCGAGAUGAGCUCGAAGAGUACCAUCCCGAAGCUGUACACGUCCGCCUUGGCGCUGAUGGGCAGCCCGGAGAUCCACUCCGGCGCCAGGUACCCGAUGGUGCCGCGCAUCGUCGUCAGGGCGCGGCUAAAGUCCCUCCCCACCAGCUUCGCCAUCCCGAAGUCGGCGAGCUUCACGCACAGGUCCCUGUCCAGCAGUAUGUUCUCCGGCUUCACGUCGCAGUGUAUGAUGCACUCGCGGCAGCCGUCGUGCAGGUACGCCAGCCCUCUGGCGACGCCGAGCAUGAUGCCAUAG